CAGCCGCCGCGGUAAUACGGAGGGUGCAAGCGUUAUCCGGAUUUAUUGGGUUUAAAGGGUGCGUAGGCGGAUCUUUAAGUCAGUGGUGAAAUCCUGCAGCUUAACUGUAGAACUGCCAUUGAUACUGAAGGUCUUGAGUAUAGUUGAGGUAGGCGGAAUGUGUAAUGUAGCGGUGAAAUGCUUAGAUAUUACACAGAACACCGAUUGCGUAGGCAGCUUACUAAGCUAUAACUGACGCUGAUGCACGAAAGCGUGGGGAGCGAACAGGAUUAGAUACCCUGGUAGUCCACGCCGUAAACGAUGAUCACUCGUUGUUGGCGAUACACAGUCAGCGACUGAGCGAAAGCAUUAAGUGAUCCACCUGGGGAGUACGGUCGCAAGAUUGAAACUCAAAGGAAUUGACGGGGGCCCGCACAAGCGGAGGAACAUGUGGUUUAAUUCGAUGAUACGCGAGGAACCUUACCUGGGCUUAAAUGUAGAGUGCAUAAGUGGGAAACUGCUUUUUCCUUCGGGACUCUUUACAAGGUGCUGCAUGGUUGUCGUCAGCUCGUGCCGUGAGGUGUCGGGUUAAGUCCCAUAACGAGCGCAACCCCUAUCGUUAGUUGCUAGCAGGUCAAGCUGAGGACUCUAACGAGACUGCCGGUGUAAACCGAGAGGAAGGUGGGGAUGACGUCAAAUCAGCACGGCCCUUACGUCCAGGGCUACACACGUGUUACAAUGGCCGAUACAAAGGGCAGCUACAUAGUGAUAUGAUGCUAAUCUCUAAAGUCGGUCUUAGUUCGGAUCGAAGUCUGCAACUCGACUUCGUGAAGCUGGAUUCGCUAGUAAUCGUAUAUCAGCCAUGAUACGGUGAAUACGUUCCCGGGCCUUGUACACACCGCCCGUCAAGCCAUGGAAGCUGGGGGUACCUGAAGUCUGUCACCGUAAGGAGCGGCCUAGGGUAAAACUGGUAACUGGGGCUAAGUCGUAACAAGGUAACCGUA
rnacentral:rRNA from 1 species